UACGUAGGCAGCGAGCGUUGUUCGGAGUUACUGGGCGUAAAGCGUGCGUAGGCGGUUUUGUAAGUUUGGUGUGAAAUCUCCCGGCUCAACUGGGAGGGUGCGCCGAAAACUGCAAGGCUGGAGUGUGGGAGAGGUAGGCGGAAUUCCUGGUGUAGCGGUGAAAUGCGUAGAUAUCAGGAGGAACACCUGUGGUGUAGACGGCUUACUGGACCAUGACUGACGCUGAGGCACGAAAGCGUGGGUAGCAAACAGG
rnacentral:rRNA from 1 species